CCUACGGGUGGCAGCAGUGGGGAAUAUUGGACAAUGGGGGAAACCCUGAUCCAGCGACGCCGCGUGAGUGAAGAAGUAUUUCGGUACGUAAAGCUCUAUCAGCAGGAAAGAAAAUGACGGUACCUGACUAAGAAGCCCCGGCUAACUACGUGCCAGCAGCCGCGGUAAUACGUAGGGGGCAAGCGUUAUCCGGAUUUAUUGGGUUUAACGGGUGCGUAGGCGGGCUGUUAAGUCAGCGGUCAAAUGUCGGGGCCCAACCCAGGCCUGCCGUUGAAACUGGCGGCCUCGAGUGGGCGAGAAGUAGGCGGAAUGCGUGGUGUAGCGGUGAAAUGCAUAGAUAUCACGCAGAACUCCGAUUGCGAAGGCAGCAUACCGGCGCCCGACUGACGCUGAGGCACGAAAGCGUGGGUAUCGAACAGGAUUAGAUACCCCGGUAGUC
rnacentral:rRNA from 1 species